CAAGGUUCGUCCACGGAGGGUGAGUCAGGGCCUAAGAUCAGGCCGAAGGGCGUAGUCGAUGGACAACAGGUCAAUAUUCCUGUACUACCCCUUGUUGGUACGGAGGGACGGAGGAGGCUAGGUUAGCCGAAAGAUGGUUAUAGGUUUAAGGACACAAGGUGACCCUGCUUUUUCAGGGUAAGAAGGGGUAGAGAAAAUGCCUCGAGCCGAGGU
rnacentral:ncRNA from 1 species